rnacentral:lncRNA from 1 species
UGCAUUUCCCAGAGGCCCAGUUACUCACACAGUGUUGAGGUCCAUCUCUGACACUGGACACAGCAGAAGAUCUAGAAAAGUGCGUGCAAGGCCGGGUGCAGUGAUUCACGCCUGUAAUCCCAGCACUUUGGGAGGCCGAGGUGGGCAGAUCACCUGAGGUCAGGAGUUGGAGACCUGGGAGGCGGAGGUUGUGGUGAGCUGAGAUCACGCCACUGCACUCCAGCCUGGGUAACAAGAGCAAAACUCCCUCUCAAAAUUAAAAAAAAAAAAAAAAAAUUUCUGCUUCCCGGGUUCAAGUGAUUCUCUUGCCUCAGCCUCCCGAGUAGCUGGGAUUACAGGAAUGAGCCACCAAGCCCAGCUAAUUUUGUAUUUUUAGUAGAGACGGAGUUUCUCCAUGUUGGUCAGGCUGGUCUUGAACUCCUGACCUCAGGUGAUCCCACCUCGGCCUCCCAAAUUGCUGGUAUUACAGUCAUGAGCCACUGCCCCUGUCCUAAAUUUAAAAAAUUUUUAGAGAUGUGGUCUUGCUGUGUUGCCCAGGGUGGUCUUGAACUCCUGGGUUCGAGUGAUCUCCUUCCUUGGCCUCCCAAAGUGCUGGGAUUACAGGCAUGAACCACCAUGCCCAACCUGUCCAUAUUUUUUUAUUAUAUUUUUUCCCUUUUAUUUUUAACAUUUUUGUAUCAUUUUCUUUAGAAUAAAGAGCAUAGGCCA